CGUGCAUUAGCGAAACAAUAUGUUAAUUUCUAGUUUUGAUCAACUUCCUAUUACAUAGUUGAAAGUAUAGAUCAACCUUCAGGGUAAUUUGAUAGUUUAGUCUAUUAAAUCCUCUCGAUAUUCUUGCUGUUUAUUUCUUUAGUACCAUAAUGUCCAUAGUGAAUUUGACAUUGACUCCAUAACUGAUAGUUCUUAUGCCUGAUUCCAUUCUGUAUUUGCUUGAAAAUUCUUACGAGUCCUUCCAUAAUGUCUUUGGUGAAUUUACAUUCACCCCAUAACUUUUGGUAACAAUCGUACCUCAACUUCAUUUCGCAUGAAACAAACACGCACACAGUCGCAACACACACACACACACGUGCAUCAUUGGAUUCUGCAGCCAUUUGCAUUCUCUUCGCUUAAGGCACUGUAAUAGCAGUGAGGCAUAGGCGAUGAUGAUGGUGGUGGCCCCUGAUACUAAUCAGAUGACAAAGGAGGGGCAUUCACCGUUUCCAAUAUUGAGAUACAAAUCUUAAUACGUCUGAUUUUACUGAGUACAGCUUAUACAACGCAUAUUCCAGUGAGGUUCUUACUUCUCUCAUUACAUGUUCUUUUCCUGCUUGAUGGGGCUUCAUAAAUUUGAAGAAUAUCAGUGAGGUGCUCCUAUAGGCACAACUCCGCCUCUGUGAGCUCGCUCACAUAGCCGGACCCAAGCCCGGAAAAAGGAGGAGGGUUGCCGUCGGUUGGCAGCCAACGUAAAACUUUCCAAUUCAUGAGGAGUCCUCAUAAUAAAAUAAUCGGAAAUGAAGACUUGAAGAUUCAUAUAGCCGAUUCCAACUUGUUUGGGAUUGAGGCGUACUUGUUGUUAUAUGCACAAUAUUGAAUGGAGAAGUUGUACAAUUCAGGACCAGCUUAACUAAAGACUCAUUAGUCUUGUAGAAUUUUCUGAUCACUCAAGUUUAGUUUCGCUGUUAUUUAUUGUUGUCAAGUCUGUUGAAAAUUUUAUGUCUGAGAAUAUAUAGGGCUUUGAUCUGCCGGGGAAAAUUCACAAGGUGCUUUGAAGUUGAACUAAACUACGUGAAUUGAAGGACGGAUACUAUGUCGUUGUCAUGGACCCUGCUAAAGCAGUAGAGACGGCAGACGAGAAUAUGAUGCAAGUUGCUGCAAUCCUUGGUUCCAUCCUGGAGCAUGCAGCGAAUUUUGAUAAAAGUAAUUACAAUGAUCGCGCUAAUCAUCUAGCGCAUCCUGGUUAGUGAUUGACAUCCAUGCUGUGAAACCUAAAGGUUGAUUGAGAAGGCGCUGAAAACUUAAAGACGCCCAAUAUUCAGUGAACGAGCUCUCCCGAGGGCUAGCGAAGCUCAUGGUAUAAAUCUUCUGAGGUGAUGGGCAUUGACAGCUAUGAUGACGAUUGUGGAGAUGGUGGUGCCUGAAAAUGCUCAAAAGGCAACGGAGGAGCUGAUGGAAUAGCAUGUUGAAAACUAGUAUUACCACUGUGACGGCAACAUCCAUGAUGACUAUGACUAUGACGAUUUAUAUCAGCAUGAUCACCACAACACGACGAAGAAGCCCCACAAAAUCCACCACCAUUCGCAGGACUAAUAUAAUACACACACUGGACUUUGAAUUCAACAAAUUCCCUACACGGUAUG